rnacentral:rRNA from 1 species
CCCUGUGACUACAAGUUUAACGGCCGCGGUAUUUUGACCGUGCGAAGGUAGCGCAAUCACUUGUCUUUUAAAUGGAGACCUGUAUGAAUGGCAUCACGAGGGCUUAACUGUCUCCUUUUCCAAGUCAAUGAAAUUGAUCUCCCCGUGCAGAAGCGGGGAUACACCCAUAAGACGAGAAGACCCUAUGGAGCUUUAGACACUAAGACAGCUCAUGUUAAAGGCCCUCAGACAAGAGAUUAAACUGAGUGAUGCCUGUCCUACAUGUCUUCGGUUGGGGCGACCACGGAGUAAAAAAGAACCUCCACGUGGAACGGAAGCACCGCUUCCAGAACCAAGAGUGCCCACUCUAAGUAACAGAACAUUUGACCUUCAAGACCCGGCAAAGCCGAUCAACGGACCAAGUUACCCUAGGGAUAACAGCGCAAUCCUCUUCAAGAGACCUUAUCGCCAAGAGGGUUUACGACCUCGAUGUUGGAUCAGGGCAUCCUAAUGGUGCAGCC